CUGGUUAGUACUUGGAUGGGAGACCGUCUAGGAAUACCAGGUGCUGUAAGCUUUUUGGAAAUUUUUCACUUAGUAUAUAAUAAUUUUGCCAAACAAUAGAGUCAAUGCCCGAUCUCUAAAUAUUAGCAGGUUUGGGCCUGGUUAGUACAUGGAUGGGAGACUGCCUGGGAAUACCAGGGCUUUAAACUUUUUGGAAAUUUUUCACAAAUUAUAUAAUAAUCUUGCAAAAAAAAAAAAAAAAAAAGUC